rnacentral:rRNA from 1 species
GACGAACGCUGGCGGCGUGCUUAACACAUGCAAGUCGAACGGAAAGGCCCUGCUUUUGUGGGGUGCUCGAUUGGCGAACGGGUGAGUAACACGUGAGUAACCUGCCCUUGACUUUGGGAUAACUUCAGGAAACUGGGGCUAAUACCGGAUAGGAGCUCCUGCUGCAUGGUGGGGGUUGGAAAGUUUCGGCGGUUGGGGAUGGACUCGCGGGUUAUCAGCUGGUUGGUGGGGUAGUGGCUUACCAAGGUUUUGACGGGUAGCCGGCCUGAGAGGGUGACCGGGCACAUUGGGACUGAGAUACGGACCAGACUCGUACGGGAGGCAGCAGUGGGGAAUAUUGCACAAUGGGCGGACGCGUGAUGCAGCAACGCCGCGUGCGGGAUGCCGGCCUUCGGGUUGUAAACAGCUUUCGAAUGUGACGAACCGUGAGUGACGGUAAUGGGUAAAGAAGCACCGGCUAACUACGUG